CUCUACAAGACUCAUUUUAACACAAUGGUAUUUUUUUUUAAUUGAGCUUAAAUAAAUCUGCUUCUGAUUUUUUUGAGGUGCAGACAGUUGCCUGUGCUCAAAACCAGCUGGAUACAAGGUAGUUCUUGUUCAAAAGUUGUGUGGCAGAGUUACUGGAAACAUGAGCUGUAGCUUCUGCAUCCUGUCUCUUGGUACAGACGCCACAUUUACCAACUUUGCAAAUUUAGAUGACAAGAAGACAGUUUUCAUGGUCAGUGAGUCCAUAACCAUGUCCAAAGAAAAUCCAAUCAAGGUGCAAAUAAGGAU
ensembl:lncRNA